CCCAGACUCCUACGGGAGGCAGCAGUGGGGGAUAUUGCACAAUGGGGGGAACCCUGAUGCAGCGACGCCGCGUGGGUGAAGGAGCGUUUCGGCGCGUAAAGCCCUAUCGGCAGGGAAGAAGGAGGACGGUACCUGACUAAGAAGCCCCGGCUAACUACGUGCCAGCAGCCGCGGUAAUACGUAGGGGGCAAGCGUUAUCCGGAUUUACUGGGUGUAAAGGGGGCGCAGACGGCAGCGCAAGCCAGGAGUGAAAGCCCGGGGCCCAACCCCGGGACUGCUCUUGGAACUGCGCGGCUGGAGUGCAGGAGGGGCAGGCGGAAUUCCUGGUGUAGCGGUGAAAUGCGUAGAUAUCAGGAGGAACACCGGUGGCGAAGGCGGCCUGCUGGACUGCGACUGACGUUGAGGCCCGAAAGCGUGGGGAGCAAACAGGAUUAGAUACCCCAGUAUU
rnacentral:rRNA from 1 species